rnacentral:rRNA from 1 species
AUUGAACGCUGGCGGCAUGCUUUACACAUGCAAGUCGAACGGGCUUAGGUGCUUGCACCUAAGUUAGUGGCGAACGGGUGAGUAAUGCAUCGGAACGUACCGUGUAGUGGGGGAUAACCCGGCGAAAGUCGGAUUAAUACCGCAUACGAUCUAAGGAUGAAAGCAGGGGAUCGCAAGACCUUGCGCUAUACGAGCGGCCGAUGUCGGAUUAGCUAGUUGGUAGGGUAAAGGCCUACCAAGGCAACGAUCCGUAGCGGGUCUGAGAGGAUGAUCCGCCACACUGGGACUGAGACACGGCCCAGACUCCUACGGGAGGCAGCAGUGGGGAAUUUUGGACAAUGGGCGAAAGCCUGAUCCAGCCAUGCCGCGUGAGUGAAGAAGGCCUUCGGGUUGUAAAGCUCUUUUGUCCGGGAGCAAAUCCUGUUCACUAAUACUGAGCGGGGCUGAGAGUACCGGAAGAAUAAGCACCGGCUAACUACGUGCCAGCAGCCGCCGUAAGAC